GGAAGGAGACGGUAUACACGCUUUCUCAUGCGCCUGUAUCUUUCUGGAGCUUUCGGGAUGGAUAUUUCAUGUGCUUUUCCUAGCAGAGGCCUCUCAUCAGGUCUCCUGGAGAAGACAGGGAUACUUCCAGGAUCGGUCCUUUGACCUUUAACCCUUAUCUCACUUCAGACCCACGUGGCUUCUCAUGGGAAAUUGUGUUUCUUUUUGCAUAUGUCAUGCUGAAGCAUGUCUAUUUUCCCACUGUCUUUUGACGCACAGGUUUCUUCCUCAGCUAGUCUUACAAAAGUCCCCUUCAGGAUGUCCGUCCACUGACACAAACUCAGUCUCUCAGCUAUCCCAGAUUACUUAGAGGGUUCCUUGGAUUAUCUCUGACUGAUUGACACAGAGCAGACAGAAACAUGAGGUGAGUGUGUUCCUUUUCCAGAACUGUCUACUGCGGCUUUUGACCUCAGACUUGUCCCGUUUCCCUGAAAAAGAAAAAGUAACUCAGAUUAACCUUUGUAUUAGGUUUGGGUUAAACUGACCCAUUUAAAAGAAAAAUGACACUUUUGAGAUAUGUAUUUCAUAACCAACCAACUAAACCAGUGUCCAUUUGCCCAUUGUCUGCAUUUUCUUUAUGUCAUUUUGCCUGUAUGGUUUCUUCAAAUAUAAGAUAAAGAUGAAAAAUAAUCGAGAAUGUCAGUUCAAAACAAUAAAUAUCAAUUAUCUGCAUGAAAACCUUUUUUCAUUGUAAUUUUUCACAGAUAGACAUGAUUUAUGCCCCCAAUGCCUCCAUCAUUGUGGAUUUAUAUAAAUCACAUCAUUGUUAAAUGUGAUCUAGCAGAGGUAAAUGGCAACCAUUAACUAUAUACAUUGUUUAAAUUGUUUGGAACUGAAAUAAAGAUAAUAUAUACAGUAUUGCAUAUUGCUUAUUUGAUGCAGGUUAACAUUUUCACCCAGAUUAACAGGUGCUAAUGAGUAAAAAAGGGUUAAAGAGGGCACCUGCGAUUUAGGAUGUAAGGCCCUGCUGCUUUGCUGAGCUUUUCUUCACACCUUCAGAGACCAGGAAAGUAAAUUUUAAAAACGGCAUGCCUAGUGUGCCACUGUGAAGUUCUGCAGCUUUAUCCCAAAGGAAUCGUUAACAUGCUUGUUCUUGUGCAGUUUGUGAAUGGUCCCAGUUUCUUUUUUUUUUCAAAUGUCAGUCGCCAGUGACACUGGAAAGACUAUUCCUGUGUCAGGUUUGUGGCCAUUUCCGACUUGCAUUGAACCGCGUGAAUGUGGCUGCUGAUUUAUUUCACCUCAAGAUACUGGCAGGUUUUCUGUGUUCCUUUUUGUUCUGUGCAGGAAGGACAGAAAAUGGGAGAAGUCUUCCAUUUCAGGGGGUUUCAGGGAGAAAGGCAGCCUGAAAGGGAUGCUGUGAAGCAGGAAGCACUUUUUCAUUCAUUUGGCUGGGGGGAUGUUGCCGUCCAACGCAGACUGUUUUCCCUGAGCCCAAAUGCUGAACGAAUAUGAAUCUCACGUUCCUGUUUCACCGUACUUUUUUCGUUAUCUUGUGUACCAGAUUUAAGGAAGUGGUCAGUUUGGCUUAUUGAAGGUGAAAUGAACAGGAAAGACGUUGGAGUCAAACUAAUGGAACGUCUGAGUCAAAGUAAUGAAACGUGUGGAUCCUGUGGUGGGGGACCAAAUCCCAUCCUACUUCACUGCAUUCAAAUGAAAGAGCUUUAAAGAAACAUGCCACCAUGAUGUUUCAAGUGUAAAAAUAUGAACGGGUUAUUUUUAACCUACAGAGACAUCUUUAUGUGUUUUUUAUUUUUGCAAAUUCACUCUUCAAAAUUGAUUUUUGCAUUGCUUUUAUUGUAUUGCUCUUAACAGCAAUGUAAGCUUUUAUCUUGUGAAAAGUGAAAGUGAUGCCCCUUAGUCUCAAUCCCACUUAGCGCUGACAUGUUUCAAACGGAUGUGCUGACAGACCAAGAGCAGCUGAAAAUACAAGCCAUUUCUAGUACUUGUGGAAAAGUGAUAGAUGUCACAUUGAUUGGUAAUGAUAAGAUAUUACAAUCUUCAGAUGCAGAAAGAAGCCUUGUCCUGGCUGCUUCAUUGACCUUCUGGUGAACAGAUGGCCACGUGGUCAUUCCUGCGCCACUGUGAGUUCAUUCGGAGUGAUGGAGGCCUCCUUUUUUUUGUUCUUGGAGUGAAAUACACACAAUCGGGGGAAGUAGCCUACAGAUUGCAUCCUUCCCAAGAAAAACUAAUGCUCAGCAAGUAGCGAGAAAGAAGAGCAUUGCGCUCCCCGGGGGUGCCUAUCACUGUGAGAAGAUCCUGUGCUUUCUCAAGCGACGGCACGCUCCCCCGCUGAUGUUCUCGCGGGGACCCCAGGAGCGCAGCGCCUCUCGCUGGCCCCGUGGAAGCCCCGGCCGUUCCUGUCAGGAAGCUCGCGGCCUCGCGGCCUCUGACCGGCUCCAUUGAUGCCAGGGGCGCGGCCCUUCCAGCUGAGCGGGUGGCGUCUUGAACGCUCGCGUCUGGCGGCUUCUCAGGAGGAACGGAAUCUGCGACAUGGCGGAGACUUCGUUCAUAAAACACAUUUUUAAGGGGUUUAAGUCUUUUCCAUCCAAAAUGUUUAUGUUUAUGUGACUGUGCAUGUACGCACUGCUUUAUAUUUCUCCUAAGGGUGAUAAAUUAUAUGUUGCAUAUAUUCUAUAUGUCUAUAUGUUCUGUUUAAUGUUAAUGCUACAUGAAGACUUUGAGAUAUGAAUGCUGCUAGGCCUGUUGAAUCUUGGAAUUAAAGUGAAAGAGCAGGAAUCCAGAUUGUUGGAUCUUAUGCAGGCUUAAUUUUCCAGAGAGGGUUUACCACAUACUGUACAUUUUUAAAAAGCUACCAUCCAGUCGUUGCAACAACUGACCAAAUUUGUUAUGUGGGGAACAAUCAAAUGCAGACGUAAUCAGACGUAAUCAGACGUAAUCAGACCAGCCGUAACUCAAUGAUUUAUGUAUUUGAUGAUGAUUUAUUUGUAAGAGAAACCUCAAAUUUUGUUUCAUGUAUCUUCAAGGUGUCUUUUGGAGCGGCAGUGUAGUAUUGGUAAGGAGCUGCUCUGGUCAUCUAAAAGUCUCAGGUUUUAUUCCAGGGUAGAACACUGAUGUUGCACCCUUGAGCAAGGUACUUAACCUGCAUUGCUUCUGUAUAUACCCAGCUGAAUAAAUGGAUGCAAUGGA